UAAGCCAUGCAAGUCUAAGCAUAAGUUUUUAAAUGGCAAAGCUGCGAAUAGCUCAUUACAACUGUUAUUAUAGACACAACUCAAGUUAGAUAUGGAUAUUAGUGGUAAUUCUGCUAUUAAUACACGGAAUAGUUCAGUUCUUGAUUUUCUGUAAUGGUUUGUGUCAUUGUGACAUUCAAGAGACUAAAUCGCAUAAUGCGAUGUGUUGUGCAAGUCUCAGUCCUAUCAGCUAUGUUGUGUGGGGUAUUGGCCCACAGAGGCUUUUACGGGUGACGGGGAAUUAGGGUUUGAUUCCGGAGAGGGAGCCUUAGAAAUAGCUACCACAUCCAAGGAUGGCAGCAGGCGCGCAAAUUACUCGUUUCCGAAACGGAGAGGUAGUUACGAGCAAUAGUGACAUGAGACUUUUGUUUCAUGAUUGCAAUGAAUUGAAUAUAAAUAAUUUUGUGAGAAACCAUUGGAGGGCAAGUCUGGUGCCAGCAGCCGCGGUAAUUCCAGCUCCAGAGUGUAUAUUAAAUUUGCUGCAGUUAAAGCGUUCGUAGUCGUGUGUAUCAUUAGUUGAACGAUAACACCAUUUUGGUUUAUCUGGUUACUAAUUCUUUUUGUGAUGUUCUUUGGAGCACCACAGAUUAUUACUUUGAGCAAAAAGGAGUGCUAACAGCAGAUUUAUGUUUGGACACUUUAGCAUAGGAUAGUAGAUGAGGUUGAAUACCAAAUUCACAGAAAUGGUGAGAGCUUAGAUCCAAUAGAAAAUUACGGGGGUAUAUGGAUUUGUAGGGGAGAGGUGAAAUUCUGAGAUCCUACAAAGACAUACUACUGCGAAGGCAUUUACCCAGUAAUUAUUUCUUGAUCAAGGACGAAAGUUGGGGUAUCGAAGAUGAUUAGAUACCGUCGUAGUCCCAACUGUAAACAGUGCUAACUAAGCUCUGGAGGUUAUCUUUAGAUUAGAUUGUUUCAGAGCUUCUUCGAGAAAUCAAAGUUUUUGAGCCCUGGGGGGAGUAUGGUCGCAAGGCUGAAACUUAAAGGAAUUGACGGAAGGGCACCACCAGGAGUGGAGCCUGCGGCUUAAUUUGAGUCAACACGGGGAAUUUCACCAGGCCAAAACAUAGCGUUGAUUGACAGGUUGAGAGUCCUUUCUUGAUUCUGUGGGUGGUGGUGCAUGGCCGUUCUUAGUCGGUGGGUUGACUUGUCUGGUUAAUUCCGAUAACGGACGAGACCUUGGCCUAAUUAGUUUGCAGUCUUGCUCCAACAUGGUGAGAUUGGUCUUUAUGGGACUUUGCUUGUUCAUGGCAAGGAAGUGCAAGUCUAAAACAGGUCCGUUAUGCCCUUAGAUGGUCUGGGCUGCACGUGUGCUACACUGAUUAAGUCACCGAGAUUCUAACUGAUACGAUAGUGUUGGUCAAUCUUAUUCAAAUUAAUCGUUGUUGGGAUAAUUCAUUGUAAUUUUUGAGUUUCAACCAGGAAUUCCUAGUAAGUGUGCGUCAUCAUCGUGCGCUGAUUACGUCCCUGCCCUUUGUACACACCGCCCGUCGCUUCAACCGAUUGGAUAUUCCGGCGAAUUACACUGACGAGCGUGAUUCAUAGUUUCGACUUGGGUUCAUAUCGAAUGUGUUGUGAGCCUUAAUAUCUAGAGGA
rnacentral:rRNA from 1 species